rnacentral:rRNA from 1 species
GAUGAACGCUGGCGGCGUGCCUAAUACAUGCAAGUCGAGCGAACGGACGAGAAGCUUGCUUCUCUGAUGUUAGCGGCGGACGGGUGAGUAACACGUGGAUAACCUACCUAUAAGACUGGGAUAACUUCGGGAAACCGUAGCUAAUACCGGAUAAUAUUUUGAACCGCAUGGUUCAAAAGUGAAAGACGGUCUUGCUGUCACUUAUAGAUGGAUCCGCGCUGCAUUAGCUAGUUGGUAAGGUAACGGCUUACCAAGGCAACGAUGCAUAGCCGACCUGAGAGGGUGAUCGGCCACACUGGAACUGAGACACGGUCCAGACUCCUACGGGAGGCAGCAGUAGGGAAUCUUCCGCUAUGGGCGAAAGCCUGACGGAGCAACGCCGCGUGAGUGAUGAAGGUCUUCGGAUCGUAAAACUCUGUUAUUAGGGAAGAACAUAUGUGUAAGUAACUGUGCACAUCUUGACGGUACCUAAUCAGAAAGCCACGGCUAACUACGUG